CAAUAGCGUAUACUAAUGUUGUUGCAGUUAAAAAGCUCGUAGUUGAACUUCUGGUGGGAGUGUCCCGGCCUUUUUGUUUUUACAAAUUGUAUGCUGUGUGACAUCUCUGGCCAUCCUUCUUCUUUGUUUAAAGAAGAUCUUUCACUGUAAAAAAAUUAGGGUGUUCAAAGCAAAAGUUUCUUUGGAAUAUAUUAGUAUGGGAUGAUAAGAUAGGCUCUAGAUGCUAUUUUGUUGGUUUGCACAUUUAGAGAAUGAUUAACAGGGACAGUUGGGGGUAUUCGUAUUUACAUGUCAGAGGUGAAAUUCUUGGAUUUUGGAAAGACGAACUACUGCGAAAGCAUUUACCAAGGAUGUUUUCAUUAA
rnacentral:rRNA from 1 species